UGAAACUUUUUAUUUUAAUUGGGGCGAUUUAACUAAAUAUUAAAAACUUUUUUAAAAAAAAAUAUGAACCGUUAUUAACGGCCACUUGGAAAAAAUACUCUAGGGAUAACAGCGUAAUAAUUUUUGAUAGUUCUUAUAGACAAAAUAGUUUGCGACCUCGAUGUUGGAUUAGGAUAUUUUUUUA
rnacentral:rRNA from 1 species